AACCAUAGAAACCUGCGGAGUACCUGCGGAGGGAUCAUUACAGAGUUGCAAAACUCCCUAAACCAUUGUGAACGUUACCUAAACCGUUGCUUCGGCGGGCGGCCCGGGUCCUUCCCGGCGCCCCUCGGCCCUCGCGGGCGCCCGCCGGAGGUAAACCAAACUAUUGCAUUUGUAUGGCCUCUCUGAGUCUUCUGUACUGAAUAAGUCAAAACUUUCAGCAACGGAUCUCAGAUCGGAAGA
rnacentral:misc_RNA from 1 species